GACGAACGCUGGCGGCGUGCUUAACACAUGCAAGUCGAGCGGUAAGGCCCUUUCGGGGGUACACGAGCGGCGAACGGGUGAGUAACACGUGGGUGACCUGCCCUUAGCUCUGGGAUAAGCCUGGGAAACUGGGUCUAAUACCGGAUAUGACUCCAUGACGCAUGUUGUGGGGUGGAAAGCCUUGUGCGGCUAGGGAUGGCCCGCGGCCUAUCAGCUUGUUGGUGGGGUGAUGGCCUACCAAGGCGACGACGGGUAGCCGGCCUGAGAGGGCGACCGGCCACACUGGGACUGAGACACGGCCCAGACUCCUACGGGAGGCAGCAGUGGGGAAUCUUGCGCAAUGGGCGAAAGCCUGACGCAGCGACGCCGCGUGAGGGAUGACGGCCU
rnacentral:rRNA from 1 species